rnacentral:rRNA from 1 species
UCGUCACACUAUCAUUAACUGAAUCCAUAGGUUAAUGAGGCGAACCGGGGGAACUGAAACAUCUAAGUACCCCGAGGAAAAGAAAUCAACCGAGAUUCCCCCAGUAGCGGCGAGCGAACGGGGAGGAGCCCAGAGCCUGAAUCAGCAUGUGUGUUAGUGGAAGCGUCUGGAAAGGCGCGCGAUACAGGGUGACAGCCCCGUACACAAAAGCGCAUGUGCUGUGAGCUCGAUGAGUAGGGCGGGACACGUGGUAUCCUGUCUGAAUAUGGGGGGACCAUCCUCCAAGGCUAAAUACUCCUGACUGACCGAUAGUGAACCAGUACCGUGAGGGAAAGGCGAAAAGAACCCCGGCGAGGGGAGUGAAAAAGAACCUGAAACCGUGUACGUACAAGCAGUGGGAGCCCCACCACCAAAGCAUUUGCUGUACCGCGUUGACGGAGCGAAGCGACGUCAAACCGAUAAAACAGCAGUGUAAAGUGAGCCGCAGGGCGCUUUGCGCGACAGCGCAAAGGCAGGCGGUUUCGCGUAGCGAAAGCGAAUGCUUUGGGGUGGGGUGACUGCGUACCUUUUGU